rnacentral:rRNA from 1 species
UGGCGAACGGGUGAGUAACACGUGGGUGAUCUGCCCUGCACUCUGGGAUAAGCCUGGGAAACUGGGUCUAAUACCGGAUAGGACCAUGCUUUAGUGUGUGUGGUGGAAAGUUUUUUCGGUGUAGGAUGAGCCCGCGGCCUAUCAGCUUGUUGGUGGGGUAAUGGCCUACCAAGGCGGCGACGGGUAGCCGGACUGAGAGGUUGGUCGGCAACAUUGGGACUGAGAUACGGCCCAG